rnacentral:rRNA from 1 species
AAAAACUCCGGUGGUAUACGAUGGAUCCGCGUCUGAUUAGCUUGUUGGCGGGGUAAAGGCCCACCAAGGCGACGAUCAGUAGCCGGCCUGAGAGGGUGAACGGCCACAUUGGGACUGAGACACGGCCCAAACUCCUACGGGAGGCAGCAGUGGGGAAUAUUGCACAAUGGGGGAAACCCUGAUGCAGCGACGCCGCGUGAGUGAAGAAGUAUUUCGGUAUGUAAAGCUCUAUCAGCAGGGAAGAAAAUGACGGUACCUGACUAAGAAGCCCCGGCUAACUACGUGCCAGCAGCCGCGGUAAUACGUAGGGGGCAAGCGUUAUCCGGAUUUACUGGGUGUAAAGGGAGCGUAGACGGCAGCGCAAGUCUGGAGUGAAAUCCCAUGGCUUAACCAUGGAACUGCUUUGGAAACUGUGCAGCUAGAGUGCAGGAGAGGUAAGCGGAAUUCCUAGUGUAGCGGUGAAAUGCGUAGAUAUUAGGAGGAACACCAGUGGCGAAGGCGGCUUACUGGACUGUAACUGACGUUGAGGCUCGAAAGCGUGGGGAGCAAACAGGAUUAGAUACCCUGGUAGUCCACGCUGUAAACGAUGAUUACUAGGUGUUGGGGGACCAAGGUCCUUCG